rnacentral:rRNA from 1 species
UGGGGAAUAUUGCACAAUGGACGAAAGUCUGAUGCAGCGACGCCGCGUGAGGGAAGAAGGUAUUCGUAUUGUAAACCUCUGUCUUCGAGGACGAUAAUGACGGUACUCGAGGAGGAAGCCACGGCUAACUACGUGCCAGCAGCCGCGGUAAAACGUAGGUGGCAAGCGUUGUCCGGAAUUACUGGGUGUAAAGGGAGCGCAGGCGGAAAGGCAAGUUGAAUGUGAAAUCUAUGGGCUCAACCCAUAAAUUGCGUUCAAAACUGUUUUUCUUGAGUGAAGUAGAGGCAAGCGGAAUUCCAGGUGUAGCGGUGGAAUGCGUAGAUAUCUGGAGGAACACCGGUGGCGAAGGCGGCUUGCUGGGCUUUUACUGACGCUGAGGCUCGAAAGCAUGGGUAGCAAACA